AGUGAACGCUGGCGAUAGGCCUAACACAUGCAAGUCGAACGGCAGCACAGUAAGAGCUUGCUCUUACGGGUGGCGAGUGGCGGACGGGUGAGGAAUACAUCGGAAUCUACUUUUUCGUGGGGGAUAACGUAGGGAAACUUACGCUAAUACCGCAUACGACCUACGGGUGAAAGCAGGGGAUCUUCGGACCUUGCGCGAUUGAAUGAGCCGAUGUCGGAUUAGCUAGUUGGCGGGGUAAAGGCCCACCAAGGCGACGAUCCGUAGCUGGUCUGAGAGGAUGAUCAGCCACACUGGAACUGAGACACGGUCCAGACUCCUACGGGAGGCAGCAGUGGGGAAUAUUGGACAAAGGGCGCAAGCCUGAUCCAGCCAUACCGCGUGGGUGAAGAAGGACUUCGGGUUGUAAAGCCCUUUUGUUGGGAAAGAAAAGCAGCAGGUUAAUACCCCGCUGUUCUGACGGUACCCAAAGAAUAAGCACCGGCUAACUUCGUG
rnacentral:rRNA from 1 species